rnacentral:pre_miRNA from 1 species
GAUACCCACCAUGUCUUUUGCUCUGCACUCAGUAAAUACUCGUUUGUGAAUGUGUAGCAAAAGACAGGAUGGGGAUCCA